rnacentral:rRNA from 1 species
UACAGAGGUCUCAAGCGUUGUUCGGAUUCAUUGGGCGUAAAGGGUGCGUAGGCGGCGCGGUAAGUCGGGUGUGAAAUUUCGAGGCUUAACUUCGAAACUGCAUUCGAUACUGCCGUGCUAGAGGACUGGAGAGGAGACUGGAAUUUACGGUGUAGCGGUGAAAUGCGUAGAUAUCGUAAGGAAGACCAGUGGCGAAGGCGGGUCUCUGGACCGGCAUUGGACGCUGAGGAGCGAAAGCCAGGGGAGCAAACGGG